UACGUAGGGGGCAAGCGUUGUCCGGAUUUAUUGGGCGUAAAGAGCGUGUAGGCGGCCACACAGGUCUGCUGUGAAAACUCGAGGCUCAACCUCGAGCUGUCGGUGGAAACCGUGUGGCUAGAGUCCGGAAGAGGAGAGUGGAAUUCCCGGUGUAGCGGUGAAAUGCGCAGAUAUCGGGAGGAACACCGGUGGCGAAGGCGGCAUCCUGGACCGGCAUUGACGCUGAGGCGCGAAAGCCAGGGGAGCAAACGGG
rnacentral:rRNA from 1 species